rnacentral:rRNA from 1 species
UACGUAGGGUGCGAGCGUUGUCCGGAAUUAUUGGGCGUAAAGGGCUCGUAGGCGGUUUGUCGCGUCGGGAGUGAAAUCCACUGGCUUAACUGGUGGCUUGCUUUCGAUACGGGCAGACUGGAGGUAUGCAGGGGAGAACGGAAUUCCUGGUGUAGCGGUGAAAUGCGCAGAUAUCAGGAGGAACACCGGUGGCGAAGGCGGGUCUCUGGGCAUUAACUGACGCUGAGGAGCGAAAGCAUGGGGAGCGAACAGG